CCUACGGGAGGCUGCAGUGGGGAAUAUUGCACAAUGGGCGCAAGCCUGAUGCAGCCAUGCCGCGUGUGUGAAGAAGGCCUUCGGGCUGUAAAGCACUUUCAGCGGGGAGGAAGGCGGUGAGGUUAAUAACCUCAUCGAUUGACGUUACCCGCAGAAGAAGCACCGGCUAACUCCGUGCCAGCAGCCGCGGUAAUACGGAGGGUGCAAGCGUUAAUCGGAAUUACUGGGCGUAAAGCGCACGCAGGCGGUCUGUCAAGUCGGAUGUGAGAUCCCCGGGCUCAACCUGGGAACUGCAUUCGAAACUGGCAGGCUAGAGUCUUGUAGAGGGGGGUAGAAUUCCAGGUGUAGCGGUGAAAUGCGUAGAGAUCUGGAGGAAUACCGGUGGCGAAGGCGGCCCCCUGGACAAAGACUGACGCUCAGGUGCGAAAGCGUGGGGAGCAAACAGGAUUAGAUACCCGGGUAGUC
rnacentral:rRNA from 1 species